AAGCAGCUCCAGAGAACCAGCAGCACGGGUGGAAGCAGCAGUGGGAAACCCCAGCUGCUCCGCGGAAAGCCGAGGCUGGCGCUCCGUUCAUCGGAGCAGAAGUGGCAUCACAGAAAGCACAUGAGGUUGGAUAAAACAGAAGGACAAGCUCUGUCAUUGAGGAGCCCAUGCUUUUGGGGGAAAGGACCUCCCCAGAGGGCUACGCACAUGUUCCUGCAGGCCCGGUGGAGUUGAGACCCCAAGCCUGAAGCCAAGAAAGAAAUGCCAAAGGCACAGUGUUUGAGGAUCACAGGAAAUGCAAGAAGAGCUGAACCUGGACAGAGUCCCUCUGAAAAGUGGGGACGCCUGAUGAAAGGAGGCUGGACUUUGGAGCCAGAGAGACCUCAGUUCUAGUCCUGCCCUCCUAGUGAUGGAAACUUCUGGGUCUCAGUUUCUUCAUGAGGAAAGUGGGCCAAUGGUACUUACCCGAAGGCUUCAUCGUGAUGGAAAAGCAUUUGGUACAUGGAAGGGGCUCAGCAAAGGAAUGGCAGACAGACACAUGCACACAUAAUUAUACUGGUGACAAGAAAACCAAGGUUACUCCCAGGUGUGCCUCUUCCCCGUGGCACCGCCACUGCUGCUGUCCCUCUCAUCACCUCCCAUCGAGGACCCCUGAGCUACCUGGGUGAUCAUUUCAUACCUAUGGCCCCAGCCUGGAUUUGGCAUUGCUGUGACAACUGUAGCUGAACUUGAGAAUCACUCUUAGAGCUCGUAUUGUCAAGACAUCUACGGGUGCUGAGUGUGUGGCCAAAUUCUGCUAAGAUGCUGACACACGGCUGACCUUUCAUCACCCUUAUCACUCAACCCUUGUUUUGUGAUGAGGUUCCCUGCUGCCUGAUGAGACUUUGUGCUUAGGCUUUUGUUAAAUGAGGAUGAUGUGCAGGGUUCUGGCCUUGGAUGCCCAGGCGAGACGCAGUCUUGCAAAACAUUUCUUUUUUAUGGUUUUCUGUGACGGAACAUUGCGUUGUUCCACAUCUUAGCUUUGGUUUUGUAAUCACCGAUUAUAUAAUGAAUUCUGGUUCCAUGCCGGCGAAAUCUGUCUGAGCUGUUAAAGACACAGGAGAGAGGGGAACUGCUUUAGAAGACACAGAGAUGGAGAUGCCGUGUUGGUAGGACCCAGGGCCUCCUCCAUCCCUGCUAAUCUGAAAGAUCAGUCUACAAGGGGAUGGCAAGUGCCUCAGCUUAUCGCCUUCACUUUUGCACAGAGUAGCAGAUCCUCCUUCUGAAGUUUGCAAUUUUGUAAAACAUCAGCUACCUCUAGUGGGGCUCACUCUAUCUGCCUCCCUCAUCUUUGAGUGCUUGAAAGUCUAUGUCCUUAACUUCAAGAUGUGGGUUUCCAGAGAACACACACAUGUCCCAGGUACAUUUCAAUUGCAGAUAAACAAGGAAUACCUAUUUUAGCAUAAGUAUGUCCCAUGCAAUACUUGGGACAUACUAAUGCUUAAAAAAAAGCAUUCAUUAUUUGUCUGAAAUUCAAAUGCAACCAGGCAGCCUCUUAUUUUUGCUUGCUAAAUCUGGCAACCCUGCUCAAGAUCAAACUCUUGUCAUUGUCCUUUCCUCUGGGUCUGUCCUUGUGGGACUCCAAUAAUUCAUUCUGCCAAGAAGCCUGAGACAGAAUGAGGCAAAGGAAAAAUCUUAAUCACACUUGGCUUUUUGUUCUUAUCUAGCUCUGAGUGUCACAGACAUGCAUUAAAUUCAUAAAUAAAUUAAAACCUUUCAUUUGGACAGCUGAAGCUUAGUUCAUUUUUAUCCUGAAACUUUAGCAAGAUUGGAUUCCAUUGUAGAGACGGAUGGUGUAAAAAGAAAAGACUGAUCAAGGGACCUGGUCCCUCAUCGCAGGCUGAGUGGCUGUGGCAUGGAGUGACCACGGUAGGGAGUGACCAUGGUAUAACAUUCUCUUUAAUUUCUCUUUGGAAACUUAAAGUGUUUGAUUAAACAACCCCUAAGAUCCCUUCCAGGGCUAAUAAUUCUAUAGUUCUGGUUUCAAAAGUUCUGAAACUUCCAAGAUGUAUUACUGAAAAAUCACAGUAUUUGAUUAAAAAAAUUAAUGCUGUUUUUUUUUAAUUCUUAAUUUCCAUUAUUUUAUUUUUGUUUUUGUCUUUUUUUAGGGCCGCACCCACAGCAUUAAAAAUUUUUUUUUUAACAUUGGGUAUUUUUUAUUUAUGUUUUUAAUAAGUUGCUUACUGAAUUUCUGAGAAGAGUACAUAUCUUGGAGUCCUGAGAACUCUUGCUAUACUAAAUAUUUUGUGCAAAUUUUUUCUUUAAUUAGUAUCCAGGUAAAAGAUUUGCCCAUCAGGAUACUCUAAUAGAAUUUUUCACAUGUCUCUCAUUCUUAAAUGGCUUUGGUAAAAUCCAGCAUUCUAAAUCAGAGUUCCCACUGCAGCUCAGCAGUAACAAAUCCAACUAGUAUCCAUGAGAGUACAGGUUUCAACCCUGGCCUUACUUGGUGGGUUAAGGAUCUCUGGUGUAGGUCACAGAUGCGGCUCGGGUCCUGCGUUGCUGUGGCUGUGGUGUAGCCUGGCAGCUGCAAUUCCAAUUCCACUCCUAGCCUGGGAACUUCCAUAUGCUGUAUGUGCAGCCCUAAAAA
rnacentral:lncRNA from 1 species